rnacentral:rRNA from 1 species
CUGGGGGCCGCCUUACCAUGCAGUCGAACGGUAACAGGGAGCUUGCUCCGCUGACGAGUGGCGAACGGGUGAGUAAUACAUCGGAACGUGCCCAGUAAUGGGGGAUAGCUCGGCGAAAGCCGGAUUAAUACCGCAUACGCCCUGAGGGGGAAAGUGGGGGACCGCAAGGCCUCACGUUAUUGGAGCGGCCGAUGGCUGAUUAGCUAGUUGGUAGGGUAAAGGCCUACCAAGGCGACGAUCAGUAGCUGGUCUGAGAGGACGAUCAGCCACACUGGGACUGAGACACGGCCCAGACUCCUACGGGAGGCAGCAGUGGGGAAUUUUGGACAAUGGGGGAAACCCUGAUCCAGCAAUGCCGCGUGUGCGAAGAAGGCCUUCGGGUUGUAAAGCACUUUUGUCAGGGAAGAAAUCCUUUGGGCUAAUACCCUAGGGGGAUGACGGUACCUGAAGAAUAAGCACCGGCUAACUACGUGCCAGCAGCCGCGGUAAUACGUAGGGUGCAAGCGUUAAUCGGAAUUACUGGGCGUAAAGCGUGCGCAGGCGGUUGUGUAAGACAGGUGUGAAAUCCCCGGGCUUAACCUGGGAAUUGCAUUUGUGACUGCACGACUAG